AUACGGAGGGUGCAAGCGUUAAUCGGAAUUACUGGGCGUAAAGCGCUCGUAGGCGGCUUGUUAAGUCGGAUGUGAAAGCCCCGGGCUCAACCUGGGAACUGCAUUCGAUACUGGCAAGCUAGAGUAUAGUAGAGGCAAGUGGAAUUCCGGGUGUAGCGGUGAAAUGCGUAGAUAUCCGGAGGAACAUCAGUGGCGAAGGCGACUUGCUGGACUAAUACUGACGCUGAGGAGCGAAAGCGUGGGGAGCAAACGGAAUUAGAAACCCCAGUAGUCC
rnacentral:rRNA from 1 species